rnacentral:lncRNA from 1 species
AAAAACAGUUUUAUCUAACCAUGUAUCAUACUUGUUUGGAAAUAAGUUUGUCUUAUUAGGUUUUUAGGUCGACCUUGACUUUCUAUGUCGAAGAUGUGAUUUUCGGAAGAAGAGCUAGCAGAAAUAGAUACUUUGAGGUUCAAUGACGACUUGAUCAUGUUUCACUUCCGUAUUAAUAUAUUUUAUAUGGUAAGAUAAACUAAUAAUCAUGUAUUUCAAUAUGCAUUUAUAAUUUCUAUACUACACAGGUAUGUUUUCGUACCUGUACUGAAUAAUAUAAUAAACAUUAAACAACACAUAAAUGGGGACAAAAAGUGAAUAAAUUUUUGUAAAUAGAGUAUUGAAAAGGAAAGUAUUCAACAUAAAAGGCUGAUUAAAAAACCUUUCUUCUGGAUAGCAAAUCGAUAAUCAGAAGAUGCAGAGGUUUUGCCACUUCAAACAAAAAUAAAUAAACAUUUACGACAUUUGGACUCCUGUUGACAAGUAUACAUGUAUGUGUAGUCAUACCAUGUAUCCUUAUUUUUAUAACGGGCUUGUUAAAAGAUGUUAUAACUGUUAGUUAUUACAGCCACAUAUUACACACUAAGUAUGGGCUUGUUAAAAGAUGUUAUAAAGUUAUUUGUACUAAGUAUGGCUGUUACAACUGUUAGUUAUUACAGCCACAUAUUACACACUAAGUAUGGGCUUGUUAAAAGAUGUUAUAACUGUUAUUUAUUACAGCUACAUACUACACACUAAGUAUGGGCUUGUUAAAAGAUGUUAUAACUGUUAGUUAUUACAGCCACAUAUUACACACUAAGUAUGGACUUGUUAAAAGAUGUUAUAACUGUUAGUUAUUACAGUUACAUAUUACACACUAAGUAUGGGCUUGUUAAAGAUGUUAUAACUGUUAGUUAUUACAGCUACAUAUUACACACUAAGUAUGGGCUUGUUAAAAGAUGUUAUAACUGUUAGUUAUUACAGCUACAUAUUACACACUAAGUAUGGGCUUGAAAAAAGAUGUUAUAACUGUUAGUUAUUACAGCUACAUAUUACACACUAAGUAUGGGCUUGUUAAAAGAUGUUAUAACUGUUAGUUAUAAGCUACAUACUACAAUCAAGUAUGGGCUUGUUAAAAAGUUAUACUGUUAUUUACAGCCACAUAUUACACACUAAGUAUGGGCUGUUAAAAGAUGUUAUAACUGUUAGUUAUUACAGCUACAUAUUACACACUAGUAUGGACUGUUAAGAUGUUAUACUGUUAGUUACAGUUACUUAUGGGCAGCUACAGCUACAUAUUACACACUAAGUAUGGGCUUGUUAAAAGAUGUUAUAACUGUUAGUUAUUACAGCUACAUAUUACACACUAAAUAUGAUUUUCGCGGUUUUAAUUCUUAUUUUUUCCUUUACGGGUUAUGGUUACUAGUAAUUGACAGGUUGGGGACAACCCACCAAAUGGGGAACUAUUCUCCAAAUGACUAAUCAUUUGAUAAUGUUAAAAACAAAAAUCUUUUUUACUUAAAAUGGCACAAAGUUAAUAUUGAAAAUAGCACAAUUUCUUCCGAAGAACUUUAUUUUUAUCAUGGGUUUUAAACGUAUUGAAAACUAGUAACUUCCAAUAAACUCAAGAUCGGGCUAUUCAUCUUUUGAAAAAUGACUGCAUUUUCAUGAAUAUGUGCCAUUGUUAAGUAAAAAGACUCAAAAUUUUUUUUUAAAGAACUACCAAAUGAUUACCCUAUGAGGGAUUGUUUCUCAUUUGACGAAUAGUUCCCCAUUUGGUUGGUUGUACCUAACCUGUUUAAGGGUCUGGUUAAAGAUGGAACAGAACUAUUUACUUUCUGGGGACUAAUUUGCUUUUUUGUGUACCCUACUUAGAUCAUGUAUCUGAACACUGUGAUUUGACAAAAAAUACAGCAUCUACUGAACAUAAUUCCCAAGUUGCUGGAUGAAUCAUGUGUAGAAAAACCUGAUAUUAAUACAUUCGGGCGAAAUGCUUUUUUGAGAAAUUUUCAAUGUUUUGUAAUCACUACAUGAUAAACGACCUAAAAGUGCUAGUGGCCUUAAGUUAUCAAGAUAACAAACAAACAAACAGUUAUCAUACAUAUUCACAUUUAUUUCUGAAUCUAUAGUGAAAAUACUACAGUUAACUAUGUAUGUAGGUUCUGAAUCAGUGUUAGAAAGUUGCGAACAUUCUACAAAAUGUUACUAUUAUCCCCUAUGUGCCAGGAAAUACUACACUUCCACCUAAAGUUAUGUUACCAAUUUGGCUAAGCCUAAGGAAGGUUUGGUUAAGAAGUUAUGUUUAUAACGUUUCUAAAGGUUGGACAACAUUAAAGAACUAAUAUAUGUAACAUUCAAAACAAAACACAUUUUGGGAAUGUUUCAAAAAUAAAUUUUUGCCUCCAUUUGAGUUUCUCCUUUUCUGAAAUAAAUUUUGUUCAUAAGACACUGUCAGAAAUAGCUUAGGCAGCAACCAUUUGAUUUUCUGGGGGGCUAUGGUUUUUUUUGGAAAAAAGUUUUGUUUUCCAGUUUUGCAGAAAAAAUAAUUUGUUUUGAUUCUGAGAAAAAAAAAAAUGUUUGUUUCACCCUCAGCUGCCACUAUAUGUAAUGCUAAAAUUUGAAGAAAAAAAUUGUUUUCCGACUUGUCGCGAAAAAAAAAUAAUUUGUCCAGAAAAAAAAAACCCCCCCCCCCCCCAGAAAAUAAAUGGUUGCUGCCUUAUACUUUAUUUUUUGAACUGCGCUUAAAAUAUUAUCCAAUUCAGCUUCAAAUUUAAGGAAAUUCAUUUGGUUAUUCGAUACACAUAUCUUAACUUAGAAGGAAAAAAAAAAUACAAUAAAGUGUAUUAUAAAAUAUAAAAAAAAUUCAGUGCAAUUGUAGGUAUUUUAAAUUAACUGAGAAACAUUUUAAAUGUAUUUGUUUUUUCAGUUUAUAUGUAUUAUGUAUUUUUUUUUAUCAGUUAUUGCAUUUUCAUAUACAGUGUAUAUCAUACAUUCCAUUGUGCUGAUGAGCAUUAUUUGCUGAGAGUAUUAAAGAAUUGAAGUGGCAUUUUGCUGCUAUUUUGCGAUAAAUCAGUUAGUAAUGAUAAUUUGACAAUUAAUAUAUGAGACCGUUUUGCAUAAAUAGUAAUUCUGUACUAUAACUACUGUUAUCCAGAACUAUGGAGUAGUUACCUAAUUUUCUUUUAAUUUCCAGUUUUGUUACACAAUUACAUCAUCAUUUUAAAUACUGCUAGACAUAAACUAAUACCCUUGAUAUAUUUCUAGUUUGAAAAGUAUAAGAUAUAUUGGAAAAAGGGUAAAUAAAGUAUAUAUCUAAUAAGUUCUUAUCAGCUCGUAAACGUUAGAAUUCGGUUUCGGAUUUUCCAAUAGUUUGACCUCCACAGCAUUCCUGAAUAGACUUUAAUUGUCAUAAUGGGGUCUCGUGUUCAGUGGAAUUUAUUUUGCACAUGAUGUAACCCCUUUUAAGAAGAAACUGAUUUUUAUGGAAUCAGCAGUCAGAAAGGAAGCAAAAGCACUUCUUUCACUGAUAAAAUAAAAUGCUCGAAUAAAAUGUUCAUUGUCGAGGUUUUGUUUGACCUUUUUAUAUAAGUUUUUAAUUUGAAAUAUGAAGGCAGUUAUGAUUAUCUUAAAUAUUAACUUCUUUAAGAAGCGUGUCCUUUGUUUUAAAACCAGAUCCCGUAUUCUUGUUGUUGUUAUUUUUCUGAGACACCAGAUUUAAGCCCCGUGUUCAUGUUGUGCUUUUUCGUGUAGUGUUUUUAUCACAUUUUUUCUUUUUUUAUGUCAUAGUUUUUAGUCAAUUUUCCUUUCACUUACUUAGUAAUAUAUUUAUGUAUUUCCCUGGUAUCUUCUUUGUCCCAAGUUUGAAUCAGUUGCAUGUAUGUUUUUAUUUGUUUAUUUACUUGAUUGCUUGUUUUUAUUUAGUUUAAUGUAAUGUCCAUGUAUAUAUAUUUAAUUUCAGAUUGCCUCUCAUUUUUAUUUUGGUGAGUAAUUAAAUGUAUGAAUAAAAAUCCAUAACGAAGGAAAUUUUAAGCACAUUUUAGAUUGAAUUU